UGUCUAGUGACUUGUUACGUGUGAUGACAUGCUGACAACACCAGCUUGAAGUGACAUCAAAUCGACUUGUUGCCAGGAAUGCCUUCAACCGCAAGAAUUCCAUCUCUUGAUUAGUCGGAUCGGAACUCGUUAAGUCACGAGGUUUUAUUAGCAUCAUUAGCCAGCUUCAAUUCCCCAAACAAAACAAAGUAGCCAGCGUUUACGCAGCGAUAUCUACACGCUCCAGGGCUGGAAAAACCUCUUAGUAAGAAUUCCAUCUAGUAUUUCUCGUCAAUCUAUUGCGAGCUUCGCAUCGGCGGCAAGGAUCUUCUGCACGACGUAGAGAAGUUCAAGUGCAUCAGAGAAAAUGACGUUCAUUUAUCAAAAUUUUAUGUUGAUGAUAUUUCUUGUCAUGGCCAGCCUUGUUUCAGGGAAUCAAACAAUUACACAUUGUAAUAGUACCUUGGGCGUGUCCAAUGGUUCU